rnacentral:rRNA from 1 species
UACGUAGGGAGCUAGCGUUGUCCGGAAUCAUUGGGCGUAAAGCGCGCGUAGGCGGCCCGGUAAGUCCGCUGUGAAAGUCAAAGGCUCAACCUUUGAAUGUCAGCGGAUACUGCCGGGCUAGAGUCCGGAAGAGGCGAGUGGAACUCCUGGUGUAGCGGUGGAAUGCGCAGAUAUCAGGAGGAACACCGGUGGCGAAGGCGGGUCUCUGGGCCGUAACUGACGCUGAGGAGCGAAAGCAUGGGGAGCGAACAGG